rnacentral:Y_RNA from 1 species
GGCUGGUCUGAGUGCGGUGGUGUUUAAAACUGAUUGGUCACACCAGUUACAGAUUUGUUCGUUCCUUCUCCACUCCCACUGCUUCACUUGACCAGCCUGGG